rnacentral:rRNA from 1 species
UACGUAGGGUGCAAGCGUUGUCCGGAAUCAUUGGGCGUAAAGCGCGCGUAGGUGGUCAUGUAAGUCCGCUGUGAAAGUCAAAGGCUCAACCUUUGAAAGCCGGUGGAUACUGCAUGACUAGAGUACGGAAGAGGCGAGUGGAAUUCCUGGUGUAGCGGUGGAAUGCGCAGAUAUCAGGAGGAACACCAAUAGCGAAGGCAGCUCGCUGGGACGUUACUGACACUGUGGCGCGAAAGCGUGGGGAGCGAACAGG